CAGUAGCCACGGUAAUACGUAGGUGGCAAGCGUUGUCCGGAAUUAUUGGGCGUAAAGGGCUCGCAGGCGGUUUCUUAAGUCUGAUGUGAAAGCCCCCGGCUCAACCGGGGAGGGUCAUUGGAAACUGGGAAACUUGAGUGCAGAAGAGGAGAGUGGAAUUCCACGUGUAGCGGUGAAAUGCGUAGAGAUGUGGAGGAACACCAGUGGCGAAGGCGACUCUCUGGUCUGUAACUGGCGCUGAGGAGCGAAAGCGUGGGGAGCGAACAGGAUUAGAUACCCCUGUAGUCCCUGUCUCUUAUAC
rnacentral:rRNA from 1 species